GAUGAACGCUGGCGGCGUGCCUAAUACAUGCAAGUCGAGCGAACAGAUGAGGAGCUUGCUCCUCUGACGUUAGCGGCGGACGGGUGAGUAACACGUGGAUAACCUACCUAUAAGACUGGGAUAACUUCGGGAAACCGGAGCUAAUACCGGAUAAUAUAUUGAACCGCAUGGUUCAAUAGUGAAAGACGGUUUUGCUGUCACUUAUAGAUGGAUCCGCGCCGCAUUAGCUAGUUGGUAAGGUAACGGCUUACCAAGGCAACGAUGCGUAGCCGACCUGAGAGGGUGAUCGGCCACACUGGAACUGAGACACGGUCCAGACUCCUACGGGAGGCAGCAGUAGGGAAUCGUCCGCAAUGGGCGAAAGCCUGACGGAGCAACGCCGCGUGAGUGAUGAAGGUCUUCGGAUCGUAAAACUCUGUUAUUAGGGGAGAACAAAUGUGUAAGUAACUAUGCACGUCUUGACGGUACCUAAUCAGAAAGCCACGGCUAACUACGUG
rnacentral:rRNA from 1 species